GUUUAAUUUUUUAAUAAUUUUUAUUAAUAAUUUAAUUUAAGUAUUUUUUUUUUAAGUAUAUUUUAGAACUAAUUUUAUUUUUAUACUGUAAAGGCUAUAAGUUAAAUUUGUUAAAGGAUUUAUUAGUACCUUUUGUAUCAGGGUAGAUUAAUUAAUUUAAUUAUUUUAAUGUCCCGAAUAAGAAAGAUCAAGAUUUAAGUUUAUUAAGUUGUUGAAUAAAUUUUUAAAAUUUAAUUUUAGUAAUUAUAUGUUAUUCGUUUUCUUUAUUUCUGGUUAUUAAGGAUUUAAUUAAAUUAUACAGUAAUGUUUUUUUAGAUUUUGUAUUAAAUUAUUGUUAAUAUAUUGGGGAUAAUCUCAAUUAUUUAUUAUAAUAUAUUUUUUUUUAAGUAUUUAUUAACUUUUAAAUUUUGAAUAAAGAUUAUAAUAAAUUUAUCUUUACUAAUUAUUAUUUUUUAAAAUUUAAUUUUUUACUUAAUUUUUUCAAUUAUUUUAUUUUUGGUUUAAUAAUGAUUUAAUAAGUAUAAUUGAAAUUUUGAUUUUAAUGAACUCGACAAUUAUAAUUUCCAACUGUUUAACAAAAACAUUUUCUUUUGUUUAUAUAAAAGGUAUAUCCUGCCCUAUGGUAUUUUAUUCUUCUAAAUGGCUGCAGUAUUUUGACUGUGCAAAGGUAGCAUAGUAAUUAGUUUCUUAAUUAGGAUCUAGAAUGAAUGGAAUUAUGAGAUAUUAUUUAUAUUAAUUUUAUAAUUAAAAUUUAAAUUUUGAGUAAAAAUGCUCAGUUUUUUUCUUGGGACGAUAAGACCCUAUAGAGCUUUAUUCAUUAUAUUAAAUAAAUUUUUAAUUAAUUUUUUCAUUUAAUUAUUAUGUUUUUUGCUGGGGUGGUAAUUAAAUUUUAUCUUUAAUUUUUUUUUUCAUUAAUUUAUGUAAAUUAAGAUCUUUAAAUUGGAUUAUAAGAUAUAGUUACCUUAGGGAUAACAGCGUAAUUUUAAUGGGGAGUUCACAUUUAUAUUAAAUUUUGCGACCUCGAUGUUGAAUUAAGGAUCUAUUAAGAAGCAGAAUUCUUAUGAAGAAGUCUGUUCGACUUUUAAUUUCUUACAUGAUUUGAGUUCAAACCGGCGUGAGCCAGGUUGGUUUCUAUCUGAGUAUUAUUAAUUCUAGUUAGUACGAAAGGACCAUUAGGUUAUACAUUACAGUUGUAUUAAAUUUUAAAU
rnacentral:rRNA from 1 species